rfam:Picea glauca, whole genome shotgun sequence.
UAAUAUAAAGUUUGUGUUCAUGAUAUCAACAAGUUCCCCUAGUGCAUAUCUUGGUGGUAGUAGAAAAUAUUCAAAUGAGAACUUUGAAGAGUGAAGUGGGGAAAUGUUCCAUGUGAACAUCACUUGGACAUGGGUUAGUCGAUCCUAAAAGAUGGGGAAUCCUUGUGUUAAGGGUGCACUCUACAUGAACAUCGAAAUAGAAUUGGGUUAAUAUUCCCAAACUAGGACAUGGUGGUGGACGACAAUGUUAGAAAAUCUGGAGAUGUCAUCGGGGGCCUGGGAAGAGUUAUAUUUUCUUUUUAACGACUUUCCCACCCUGAAAUUGAUUCAACCAAAGAUAGGGUCCAACAUCUAGAAGAGAACCACACGUCUUGUGGUGUUGGUGCCCCCUCGACGGCCAUUAAAAAUAUGGAGAACUGAGUACCAUCCAUGCUCAAUCAUACUCAUAUCUGCCUCCUUGGAUUUUUCAAUUCCCACUAGGU